UAGGGAAUAUUGGGCAAUGGGCGAAAGCCUGACCCAGCAACGCCGCGUGUACGAUGAAGGUCUUCGGAUCGUAAAGUACUUUUCUGGGAGAUGAGAAAGGACAGUAUCCCAGGAAUAAGCUUCGGCUAACUACGUGCCAGCAGCCGCGGUAAAACGUAGGAGACGAGCGUUAUCCGGAUUUACUGGGCGUAAAGCGCGUGUAGGCGAUUCGGCAGGUUGGAUGUGAAAUCUCCCGGCUCAACUGGGAGGGGUCGUUCAAUACUACCGGACUUGAGAGCAGUAGAGGAAGGUGGAAUUCCCGGUGUAGUGGUGAAAUGCGUAGAUAUCGGGAGGAACACCAGUGGCGAAAGCGGCCUUCUGGACUGUUUCUGACGCUGAGACGCGAAAGCUAGGGUAGCGAACGGGAUUAGAGACCCCGGUAGUCCUAGCCGUAAACGAUGCAAACUUGGCGUCGGCGGGUUCAAAUCUGUCGGUGCCGAAGCUAACGCGAUAAGUUUGCCGCCUGGGAACUACGGCCGCAAGGUUA
rnacentral:rRNA from 1 species